AUGAAUCUUGGAUGAAAUAUAACAGACCUUAUUCUGGAGGGCACAAAUCAGACUAUUUCUGGUAUAUCAGUCUAUUUCAGGGAACCUGCCAGCAUCACCCAAAGUUAGGAACGUUGUGAGCUGCCAUAUGAGAUGGGUAAACAGAACUGCUAUCCAUGAGGCUCAAGGCAGCCCUCAAAUGACCAGAGCAAUUGCUGUUAUAUGACUGGGGGUGGGGGGCAGAUUCAUUCUCUGGGACAUGGACCAGAUUGCACAACUUAAGACACGCGGACCAUGAACACAGAGCUUCUCCUAUGUUGUUGUUGCAUCUUCCAUUUUAGAACUCAAAGGCAGCCAACAAAACCAGGUUUAUUGAUCCUCUGAUGCGUCACCACAUUUUCCUAGUGAGUUUGACAGGCCCAAAACAGACCUGAGAUAUUGUAAUGAUAUUGAAUGCUUUUCAGACAUUUGAUAAACAAAGUGAAGAGGCAACCACGAAUAAAUAUUUAGCAAGCUACAAAAAGAGAAAAGUCACUAAUGCUAUGAGAAUUACCUGUAGAAGAAAUGGAAGAUAUCCAGUUGCUUAAGAAGUCAUUCCUGAAAUGAAGUUGUGCUUUUCUGAACUACUUAUGUGUAUCAUAGAGAGAUCUGAGGCAAAUUACAUGACGUUUUUAAAAAUAUCUCUAAUACCAAAACAACACAAUUAAAGUUUCUCCCAGUGGUGUGUUCUCCAAGAAAGGUAAUUGAUCUCAAAGGUAUUUGUGAAUAUUGUUCCUGUUUGUCAAAUGCUUCUUUUACUCCAAAGUAAUUUUUGUACUUUUCGUACUUCUGCUUUGCAGUUCUAACCACGUGUUUAUGCUCAGCAGCACUGUUGGCAACAGAUGUCCCACCCAUCCAACUUGCAUGCUUUGCCCCUGCCCAAAGGUAAGCAGGAAAUACAUGUGUAUGGCCUUGCUGUGGAGUUACUCGGACACCAUAUUUGGGGCCAAGGAGGAAACAGCCUACAGAAUUUGCCUACAGACAAACUGGGCUGGUUUGGAGGUUUUGCUUACCUCACAACAAAUGUGAGGUAAACUUGCUGGUGGAUAAAGACAUUGAGCUGAAUCUUUAAUCUAAACAGAGGGGGUGGAAAUGAGCCCAAUUCCCUUCUUAUCAAUCAAGAAGGUUCACAAACCUGCAGGAACGCCACUUAGCCCCAUUGAAACAAAAUUAAUAUAGCAGAAUUUCCUGUAAUGCCUGUCUCCAUAAUGGAGGUGGAAGUACAGCCUUAAAGUAGGAAGCACAGGAAUAUAAGAUGGUGAUGUACUCAAACCACUGGCUCUUCUAACUCAGUAUUGUCUACACCUACUGGCAGUAGCUCCAUAGGGUUUCAAGCAGGAGUCUCUGAAACCCUCCCUCAAGAUGCUGAGGAUUAAACCUGGGACCUUCUGGAAGCAAAACAGAUGCUCUACCACUGAGCAGUGGCUUAAUAAUAUUCACCCCUGGAAACAGAGCUAGAAUAUAUCCAUGAAAAACGUAAAUCAGUACAACUUAUGCUAGCUUUCCAUGCUUAGGAUUGCUCCCUAAACCACCCUUUUCAGUGGAAACACAUCCCAAUAUCAAUUCCCAGUGAAAUAAUGCCAUAUAACUGAUGAGAUUGUUUAUUUUAUUGGACCAAAAAUGGGCAUAUUCUUGUCCCUGCCCCCAGUUUUAUGCACCAUGAUUCUAUGCAUGUUUAAUUGGAAAUAAGUACCAUUGGAUUCAAUAGUCCUUAUUAUCAAAUAAGUGUGUAUAGGAUUGCAGCCAUACUACCCAGUCCUAGUAUUUUCUGGUAAGUGUGCACAUAAUGUUAUAGUUGUUCAGUGGAAUUCCUGAUCUGCACCUUGUGUAGAAGUAAAUGAGAGUUCAACCCCAAGAAUGUGUUUUAAUGUUUUACUGUGGAACAGUUUUAAAUGCUAGUCAGGUAUAAAAAUUACAUGAACUGAAUAGUAAAGUAGCACAACAGCAAACAAGCAAUGUGGUUCAGUUCUUUAUGUUGUUCAGUAAACUUUCCUCUCUCAAGUCCUAUCUUUGACUUCCGAAGUUUCAUUUCCUGCUGUAAGAGUUGCAGCUCUGAUUUCCAGGAGAUGAGUCAUCAGGUAGUUUAGCUCCUUGAAAUCGAAAAACACCAGCCUUCCGCUUUCACCCAGAGUGGAACCUCUCGUUUAAGGUAAAUGUCUCUUUAUAGCAUUCCAAACACAAUGUGUUCAAACACAACAUUUUAUGUAUAUGAAACUUACAACUUUAACACAGAAGAGGACUGCAGUCUUGCCCUAAAUUCCUAAUGAGUGAAGAGGUCAUAAUGUUUUACGCUCAAGUUGAAGUCACAUUCAUGUUCAUAUUGGAAAAUACAACUCCUACUGGCUUGCACUCUGCUCAGUCCAAUAUGCUCUGAGAUGUCUGGCUUCUAAUCACCCUUCAAUAUGUGUGCAAAUAUUCCUGUCUAAAAUUCAAGGAAACAGUGGUUUUAUUCCUAUCAUCCUAAAGCAAGCAUGUCUGGAAGUUUCACAUCAAAGAAUACUCAAAGAUAUUUGGGUGCAAGUGUAGAUAAUGAACAUUUUGCAAAUGUGAUAUGAAGAAAUAGCUCAGAAAAAUAUCUGAGGGAGGAUAAACGCAGUUUCAUUGGUGCUAAAUAAAUAAAUUUGGUAUUAUUGUGAACUUAUUUUCACUCUUUCUAAAAUCAUUUCAUUCUUCUACCAGUCUUAUCACACAAAAGUGAAAUUUAAGCAAAAAGAUCAAACACUGAAAUGCCACUAAACUAUGUUUUAAUAAUCAUCAUUAGCAUAUUAUUAAUUACUAUCAUUAUAUUAGUCACCUAAUGCAGGAAAGGUAACUUAUAGAAUAAAAAUGCAGAGUUAAAACCAUCAACCAUCAAUUCACUAACAAAAAAAUAACCUCAAUAAUUACAGCAACACCAGCAAUAGUACCUUAGUCAUAUGUGGGCCACAACAAGCCUGUCACAAUUAACCAAAUGCCUGGGGAAAAGAAGAUGGUCCUAACUUUUUGCCAAAAAGGCAUUAAAAUCAGUAGGAGAUUUUUCACUGGGGCCACAACUGAAAAAAGAAAAAAACCCUUCUCUUUCUUUACAUGUGGUAUUGAUGGACAGUCUAUAUGUAUGUAGGGGAGCAGGGUUGUGCUUGCUGCCCUGCCAAUUUCUAUAUGCAUUGCACAAAAGCCUAUUCAUCUACACAUUUUUUAUUUGUUUUAUUUAAUUUACGUAAUUUUGGAACCAUUUGUUAUGAAACAUCUCAAAGUGACGUAACAAUAAAAACAACAAAAGUAAAACUAUAUAUGAAACAAUCAUACAUUAAAACAAGUUCAAAUCCAAUAAAGGUAGAGACUGGAAUUAAAAUCUCCACAGAAAAGGAUUGUUGAUGACAUGUACACUUCCCACCCAAUUUACGAACCAUUAGCAGGGCAUGGAUUUGUACAUAAGGAGGUACACUCUGUCUGUGUGACAUGCUGAACUUGUGCAGAAUGAAGAGGAGGCGACCCUAUGGGUGAGAUCCUGCGACGUCUUUGUGUACGUCGGUGGCACGUAGAUGCACAGUGUGGACUGAAGUGGAUUUAUCCUUUAAGUUCAUAGGUAAACAUUGUGCAAAGCUGUCUGCUGUCGAUUCCACUGUAAAUGGGUUUACAAAAUGGGCAUCAUGUGUCAGAGAAGGUCAGAUGUGGUGCUGAUCAGAUCCAUUCUUCUAUAACAGAAAAUAGAUUUGCUUGUGUUUCUUUCUUCAUUAAUGUAAUAAUAGCCUUCUCUGUGCCACUCUCCUCAGGGCAUCCUUAACCUCCCUGUUUCUCAGGCUAUAGAUAAGGGGAUUGAGCAUGGGAAUGACCACAGUAUAGAAGACUGAAGCCACUUUGUCUGUACCCAGGGAGUAACUAGAUCUAGGUCGGAAAUACAUGAAGAGAACUGUGCCAUGGAAGACUGUGACUAUCGUGAGGUGGGAUGUGCAAGUGGAGAAGGCUUUUUUCUUUCCCUCAGCAGACCUUAUCCUUAGCACAGUAAUCACAAUGAAAACAUAGGAAAUAAUGAUUGUGACAAUGCUGCUCGUUUCUGCAAAGGUACCCAGUACGAAAACACAUAGUUCAUUGAUGUAAGUGUUUGUGGAAGAAAGUUCCAGCAAAGCAGUGAUAUCACAGAAGAAAUGGUUGAUGACGUUGGAGUCACAGGAAGACAAUCUGAGCAAGUAACUGCUGUGUACUGAAGAGGUCAUGAAACCCAUAUGAAUGUUACUGUCAGCAGCUGUAUGCACCUUUUCGGGGACAUGAUAACUGCAUAGAGCAAGGGGUUGCAGACGGUGACGUAACGGUCAUAUGCCAUCACAGCAAGCAGGAGGCACUCUGAGGUUGCCAAAAAGAUGAAAGCGUAGUAUUGAAGAACGCAACUUACAUAGGUAAUGGUGGCUUUUCUUACUAAGAGGUCCGCCAACAGCUUUGGAGUGAUAACUGUUGAAUAAAAGCUGUCAACGAUGGACAAGCUCUGUAGGAAGGAGUACAUGGGAGUCUGAAGGUGGGCAUCAGCAUGGAUCAAGGCUACCAUCCCGAGAUUCCCCACCAGGGUGACCAGGUAAAUCAUUAGGUACAGCUCGAAUA